UUUGAAAAAUAAGACAGUUUUCAUUGAUGUAAAGAUCAUUCUAUUCAAAUAAAGGUCCAUUCAUUCAUUCAACACUUAUAUUGUCCAUUACAAAAGGAAAUACAAAAAAAAAAAACGUAAAUUUUACAAAGGUUGACUUUUUGUCAACCGGUUGACCAAAGUCAAUCAACCUCUUUUUCCAUGACCUAAACCCUAGUACUAAUUGUAGCUUCAUUCUUCAUUCUUCAAUCUUCCAUGACUCCAUUUGCUUCAUGAGCAAGAAAACUCAACUUUGCACCAAGUUUGCUUCUUGCUAUGCCAUGAAUGCUCACUUGCCUUGCCUCCACCUUACCUUGCAACUUUGUCAAGCUAGCCCUGCACUCAAUCCAUAAACAAUGCAGAAUCAGUCCAUACAUUAGCAUACAUAGGUUCAUUCAUAUGGCUCACAUACCUAACUUUCAAGUCCUAAGUUGCAUGACAUCAAGCAUUAACCACGUCCAUACAUGACAUCAAGCAAUCAUGCUCAUGAUAAUAACAUUUACUACUGGAGUAAAAAACUAACAACUCAUGUUCAUACACCAUGAUAUCAAUUCAAUUUCCAACCACAUAACAAGCAUAAUCAUCCCUAACAGUUCAUAACCUUUUGGGAGUUAACAAUAACAUUUUGCAACUUUAGCAUGCAUCAUUAAUUACCUAAUAGAUACCAUCCAAUUCACAACAGGUAUAGUCAAAGCAUAACAUGGUUUUCAUCAUAACAGUCUAAUCUAGUUGCAUUAUUGACAACAGUUCAAACUUGUUUCUAACUUACUAACCAAUUACUAAUGCUAUUUACUAAUACUUUCAUGGUAAGAAUUUAACAUAGCAAUCAGUCCAGCAUAACAAUCAGGAUCUUCUAAUUUCCCUAAUUGCUAACAAUUAACAGUUCGUUAACUGACUAAUUCAUAGUUAACUGAUAACAACAUUUCAUUAACAUGAAUUUAAACUAACCAUAACCUCCUAACUCUAACUGCACAAUAAUAAGCACCACAAUAUAACAUAGUUCAUCUAAUUCAAUAAUAUUCUAACUUCACUUAACUAACUGAAGCAUCUAACAACUAACAAACUAACAAUUAACAGAACUCAACCAACUCAAACUAAACCUAACAGAGAUUAAUAAUAGAAUAUUAAGCCUCCAACAGACUUCAACAUGAAAAUUUCUAACAGAGUUAUCAUUCUAAUCCAAUCACUUUUCAUUUUGACCAAUCAUUAGCAUAAUCACCAUUAUUCUGAAAUCACAGAAAUUCACUUGCGCUCCUUCAUUUCACUCCACAGACUCAUAUUGCAAAUCUCACAUUUCUCUUCAUCAAAAUCUCUCACUCUCCACCAGUUUCAAGCUCUCUCACGCAUGCAUUAACAUAGCAAUAACCACGAUCACACACAGAACAGAAGAGGAAUCAAAGAGCAGAAGAAGAACAAAAGAGUUGAAAGCAGAGAAGCGGAUCGAAGAAGAGAAAAGAGGAGAAUUGGUACUUGCACAGUCAUCGGAGAAGCAUUGCAUCAUCAUGAGCAACUGCCUCUUGCUCAUACUAUCAGAUUAAAUUUAUCGAACGCGGCCACGAUACGUCCGCAAAUCUUCUCAAUUUUGUGCAUGAAUACGGAUUGAUUCCGAUUUGGUAAGGACGGACGACGAAUUGAAUAGGAAUUUGGUGAAGCUCCAUCUUGGAUCCGGAGUCGAUUUCUUCAUAGCUUGUGUUUUAUUUUUUUGAGAGUGAAGAAGCGUAGAAUCAAAAAUGAAGUUGAGUUUGUUGAGUUUGUGUGUGGCCUGAAUAUGUUGGCUUGGGUCCGUUUUGGUGGUUUGGAGCUUGGGAUUGGGGGCCUAGCUGGACCAAGCACCUUUCAAUACACACCACCUGCUUUGGGCUU
rnacentral:lncRNA from 1 species